rnacentral:rRNA from 1 species
UCCCGCCUACGGGGCGCAGCAGUGGGGGAUAUUGCACAAUGGGGGAAACCCUGAUGCAGCGACGCCGCGUGUGGGAAGACGGUCCUCUGGAUUGUAAACCACUGUCCCCAGGGACGAAGAUGACGGUACCUGGGGAGGAAGCUCCGGCUAACUACGUGCCAGCAGCCGCGGUAAUACGUAGGGAGCAAGCGUUGUCCGGAACUACUGGGUGUAAAGGGAGCGUAGGCGGGAUGGCAAGUUGGGUGUUAAAUCUACCGGCUCAACUGGUAGUCGCACUCAAAACUGCUGUUCUUGAGUGAAGGAGA